GGGUCUGUAGCUUAAUUGGGAAAGCACCGAGCUUGCAACUCGGGAGAUGUCGGUUCAAUUCCGACCAGUAUCCA
rnacentral:tRNA from 1 species